rnacentral:lncRNA from 1 species
AGACACGCUCCUGGGAGAGAACAGCUCACAUUUGGCUCACGCUUCUCAUAUGCCGAGCGCUCUGCUGUGUUACCUCAGUGACUUUCACUGACUCCCAAGGAAGUGAUGGGGAUGGGGAAACUGGAAUUCAAACCCAUUUCCAACUCCCUCCGGAUCUCGAGAGAUUAACCACAGACACAACUUUUCCUGAACACAGAACAAGAAGGCAAAAGGAAGCAGAGGUCCCUGUUUUCAGGAGAGGACAGGAGAAAGCAUUGUUGGUGCUCUGAGGGUGUCAGCCAGGCCACUCAUGCAGACCAUUGCGGCAGCACUGAAAAUGGAAGAAAGAUGGGAUUCUGCUGUCUUUUGUUUUGGCUGAUGAACAGCACCGAGAUGGAGUGGCUCCAGCAGCCAGAACAAGCCACCAUCUCCCCUGGGCUUUCACAGUAGCCUCCUGACUGGUCUUGUUGCUUCCACACUUACACUUCCUGUUCUCUGCAAGGCAGCCAGAGUGACCUUUCACUAAUCCUUGUAUGACCUCUGAAAAUAUGACCUGAAGCAGAUGGAUGCACUCACAUAAGAAACAUCACCUGUGGCCUUCAUCGAAAAUGGGCCUGCUGCUUGAAGAAGUUGGGCUCUUGGAGUUCUCUAGCACAGGGGCCAUGAAAAUCAAUGACUUCCUUGUUUGCUGACGGAGCAGAGGUAGAAUCUCUUGGUGUUUCCACGGAGAAAACACUGACCAUGAAGAGCCAAGAAAGAUGACAUGAUGAAGCCAUCAGGGGAAGCACCAAACAUCCUCAACUCUGCUCACCCAUGGUUUUCUCCCGCCCUCCCAGAGCUCCUCCUGCUGGCCUUCAUUGGCAUCACCAGCACUGGAGCUAUUCCAGUGAGGAUUUUUGCUGCGGCACAU